rnacentral:rRNA from 1 species
GAGGUAAACGGGUGGAGUUGAACUGUGAUCUCUGUGGAUUUAGCUGGUGAGCAUGGUUUGGGCUUGGUCAAAUUGGUUGAAGCGGGGAAUCUGCGUAGCAGCAGGUCCUCACCUUCGGGUGGGGAUGCGCGAGGCACUCAUCAAGUGUUGCGCGUUCCAUGUUUAUCGUGCCAGCUUGCCAGUGCACUUUCACAGAGUGGUCACCACGACCGGCAUUGCUGUCUGGCUGUUGCGGUUAAACCGGCCUUUCUUUGUCCUCGUGGCAUUGAAUGGUCGGGAUGGCAGGUAGCUCGUUGGCUAGGCUUGUGGUUCGCUGCAGGCUUCCGGCUCUCGGGUGUAAUCAGCUGACCGCAUUGGUUCUGU